AAGAAAACAAAGAUGAGGAGAAAAAGAAAGAGGAGAAAAAGGAGAAGCCGUCGUAUUCGCAAAUGAAAAAACUUAUUAAAAAGAUAUUGUACGGCGGAUACCGUGGCGGCCGUGGAGGAAGAGGCAGACGAAGAGGCGGCAGAAGAGGUGGCGGUCGCGGUCGCGGGCGACCCUACGUGAUCCAUAUUUAUUAAAUGGAAAUUUAAGAUGGAUAAAUGAAAAAUAUAAUAAAUAAAUAAAAAUUAAAAAUUA